CAAAGGAGCAAUCCGCUGAAAGAUGGGCUCGCGUCCGAUUAGGUAGUUGGCGAGGCAACGGCCCACCAAGCCGACGAUCGGUAGCCGGACUGAGAGGUUGAACGGCCACAUUGGGACUGAGACACGGCCCAGACUCCUACGGGAGGCAGCAGUGAGGGAUAUUGGUCAAUGGGGGAAACCCUGAACCAGCAACGCCGCGUGAGGGAAGACGGUUUUCGGAUUGUAAACCUCUGUCCUCUGUGAAGAUGAUGACGGUAGCAGAGGAGGAAGCUCCGGCUAACUACGUGCCAGCAGCCGCGGUAAUACGUAGGGAGCAAGCGUUGUCCGGAUUUACUGGGUGUAAAGGGUGCGUAGGCGGCUUUGCAAGUCAGAAGUGAAAUCCAUGGGCUUAACCCAUGAACUGCUUUUGAAACUGCAGAGCUUGAGUGGAGUAGAGGUAGGCGGAAUUCCCGGUGUAGCGGUGAAAUGCGUAGAGAUCGGGAGGAACACCAGUGGCGAAGGCGGCCUGCUGGGCUCUAACUGACGCUGAGGCACGAAAGCGUGGGUAGCAAACAGGAUUAGAUACCCUGGUAGUCCACGCUGUAAACGAUGAUUACUAGGUGUGGGUGGACUGACCCCAUCC
rnacentral:rRNA from 1 species